AGCAUAUUUGAUAAAACAAUUUUAAUAGUCUGAAACUGAAUCUAUGAGUGUAAAUGGGAGUUCAAAGAAUGAACUAAAUAAUUUUUUUUAAAUGAGGCAAAGAAGAAUACAAAGAAAGACUCAGAAGUUCCGUUAAAAAUGUAAGAAAUGUUAUAAAAAGUUCAGACACAACUCAAUGACGGACUUGGAAGAUAUUUGUGCUAAAUUUGGAGAUAUAAAGGAUUCAGUGAAAGACCCCUAGAAAGAUUCAAAGAAGAAUAUUCAAAUAAGGACAUAGAAGUUAAUCAUGCUGAAUCUGUUGAUAUUAAAAAAAAAAUCAACAAAGACUUCAAAAAAAUCCAAGGAGGGGUAGGUUGAAUCCAUAGAUUCAAACAGUCUCAAGUUGCAUCCACGGUUUUAAAUAAAGAACCAUACAAGUCAUGAGAGGAAGAUAAACAAAUUUCAGAAAGUCUACUUUCAAAUAAAUAAGAGUACAACUUAAAGGUAGCAUUCCUCAAAAAGAAAAAAAAGCAAAACAUUAUUCCCUCCUUGUGAACUUAUACCACCAUCUCUGAAGUUUAAACAGCCACAACUAGGUGGAUGGAUGUUGAAUGUUCCACUUCCAAGCUCAGAUAAACACAAUUGAUUCCUAAUUAUGGAACAAGGAUUUAUUUAUGUUCUUUAUUAAGAGAAUGUUAGAAGAAGAUGUCAAACAGCAUAGAGAUAAUGAGAACAUGAGCAUGGGAAAACUAAGAAGAAAAGAUACACAGAAAAGAGAAAUUUAUACAGAUCCUACUGGAAGUAUAACAGAAUCUUGGCUAUGA
rnacentral:lncRNA from 1 species